rnacentral:rRNA from 1 species
UACGUAGGUGGCAAGCGUUAUCCGGAUUUACUGGGUGUAAAGGGAGCGUAGACGGCGAUGCAAGCCAGAUGUGAAAGCCCGCAGCUCAACUGCGGGACUGCUUUUGAAACUGCCAGGCUAGAGUGUCGGAGAGGUAAGUGGAAUUCCUAGUGUAGCGGUGAAAUGCGUAGAUAUUAGGAGGAACACCAGUGGCGAAGGCGGCUUACUGGACUGUAACUGACGUUGAGGCUCGAAAGCGUGGGUAUCGAACAGG